rnacentral:rRNA from 1 species
UACGGAGGAUGCGAGCGUUAUCCGGAUUUAUUGGGUUUAAAGGGUGCGUAGGCGGACUGUAAGUCAGCGGUAAAAUUGAGAGGCUCAACCUCUUCCCGCCGUUGAAACUGGUGGUCUUGAGUGGAUGAGAAGUACGCGGAAUGCGUGGUGUAGCGGUGAAAUGCAUAGAUAUCACGCAGAACUCCGAUUGCGAAGGCAGCGUACCGGCAUCCAACUGACGCUGAGGCACGAAAGCGUGGGGAUCAAACAGG